rnacentral:lncRNA from 1 species
GGAAUAGACAUGAGACAUUAAAAUAACAAAACAGAGAGUCCCUAAAUAGACCAAUAUGUAAAUGUCAGAGAUCUAGCACAUGAUAAAGGUGAUAUUUUGAAUCAGUGGGAGAAGGAUGGACUGUAUGCCAGGCACUGUUCCAGGCACUGGGAUCUAGCAGUGAACAAAUUUCCACAGUCAGUAUGUAGAUGUCACUUUUCUCCACCCUCAGCUCUCCCUGGAAUCACCUAGUCCACCAACCUUCUGAUUACUCUCUGAAGAGAAUAAAUCCCUGAUCUUCUUUUCAGUUAUUUUCAGGCUUUCAGUAUUCC